rnacentral:siRNA from 1 species
CGAGGUGCUGGUGCGGGUGA